rnacentral:rRNA from 1 species
AAAACGACUCUCGGCAACGGAUAUCUCGGCUCUCGCAUCGAUGAAGAACGUAGCAAACUGCGAUACUUGGUGUGAAUUGCAGAAUCCCGUGAACCAWCGAGUCUUUGAACNCAAGUUGCGCCCGAAGCCAUUAGGCCGAGGGCAGGUNUGCCUGGGCGUCACGC